rnacentral:rRNA from 1 species
AUGAGUAGUUGAAUGGCCGCAGUAUUUUGACUGUGCAAAGGUAGCAUAAUCAUUAGUUUCUUAAUUAGAAACUGGAAUGAAAGGUUGGACGAGAAAAUAACUGUCUCUUUAUAAAUUAUUUAGAAUUUUAUUUUUAAGUUAAAAAGCUUAAAUAAAUUUAAAAGACGAGAAGACCCUAUAGAGUUUUAUAUUAUAGUGAUUAGUAAUUUGAAUAGAAUCUUAAAAAUUUUACUUUAAUAUAGUAUUUAAUUGGGGUGAUUAAAAAAUUUAUAUAACUUUUUUUUUAUAAAAACAUUGAUUUAUGAUUUAUUGAUCCAUUAUUAUGAUUAAAAGAAUAAAUUACCUUAGGGAUAACAGCGUAAUUUCUUUUUAGAGUUCUAAUCGAUAAAGAAGUUUGCGACCUCGAUGUUGGAUUAAAAUUUAAUUUUGGUGUAGAAGCUAAAAAAUUAGGUCUGUUCGACCUUUAAAAUUUUACAUGAUCUGAGUUUAAACCGGUGUGAGCCAGGUUGGUUUCUAUCUUUAAAAAUAAUUAAAUAUUUUAGUACGAAAGGACCAAAUAUUAUUAAAAUUUAU